rnacentral:rRNA from 1 species
UACGUAGGCAGCAAGCGUUGUUCGGAGUUACUGGGCGUAUAGGGUGUGUAGGCGGUUCUUUAAGUUUGGUGUGAAAUCUCCCGGCUCAACCGGGAGGGUGCGCCGAAUACUGAGGGACUAGAGUGCGGGAGAGGAAAGUGGAAUUCCUGGUGUAGCGGUGAAAUGCGUAGAUAUCAGGAGGAACACCGGUGGUGUAGACGGCUUUCUGGACCGUAACUGACGCUGAAACACGAAAGCGUGGGUAGCAAACAGG